rnacentral:rRNA from 1 species
CAUGCAAGUCGAACGAGAGAUGAGGAGCUUGCUCUUCAAAUCGAGUGGCGAACGGGUGAGUAACGCGUGAGGAACCUGCCUCAAAGAGGGGGACAACAGUUGGAAACGACUGCUAAUACCGCAUAAGCCCACGGCUCGGCAUCGAGCAGGGGGAAAAGGAGCAAUCCGCUUUGAGAUGGCCUCGCGUCCGAUUAGCUAGUUGGUGAGGUAAUGGCCCACCAAGGCGACGAUCGGUAGCCGGACUGAGAGGUUGAACGGCCACAUUGGGACUGAGACACGGCCCAGACUCCUACGGGAGGCAGCAGUGGGGAAUAUUGCACAAUGGGGGAAACCCUGAUGCAGCGACGCCGCGUGGAGGAAGAAGGUCUUCGGAUUGUAAACUCCUGUUGUUGAGGAAGAUAAUGACGGUACUCAACAAGGAAGUGACGGCUAACUACGUGCCAGCAGCCGCGGUAAAACGUAGGUCACAAGCGUUGUCCGGAAUUACUGGGUGUAAAGGGAGCGCAGGCGGGAGAACAAGUUGGAAGUGAAAUCCAUGGGCUCA